rnacentral:rRNA from 1 species
UAGGGAAUCUUCCACAAUGGGCGCAAGCCUGAUGGAGCAACACCGCGUGAGUGAAGAAGGGUUUCGGCUCGUAAAGCUCUGUUGUUAAAGAAGAACACGUAUGAGAGUAACUGUUCAUACGUUGACGGUAUUUAACCAGAAAGUCACGGCUAACCACGUGCCAG